rnacentral:tRNA from 1 species
GAAAUACUAGUAAAUCCAUUACAUAACUUUGUCAAAGUUAAGUUACAAGUUAAAACUUGUGUAUUUUU